UCCUACGGGAGCCGGACUCCGCCAACAACUACAACCGCAAGCGACCUCUGCACAGACUCCUACGGGAGCCGGGCUCCGUCCUCAACUCCAACCACUGGUAAGCCCCUGUCCGGACUCCUACGGGAGCCGGACCUCUCCUUUGACUUUAAUUGCAGGGAGACUCCACCCGGACUCCUACGGGAGCCGGGCUUCAUCCUCGACUCCAACGGCUGCAAGACAGACUGCAUCCGGACUCCUACGGGAGCCGGACUCC
rnacentral:lncRNA from 1 species